rnacentral:misc_RNA from 1 species
GAUGAAGAACGUAGCGAAAUGCGAAAAGUAAUGUGAAUUGCAGAAUUCAGUGAACCAUCGAAUCUUUGAACGCACAUUGCGCCCGCUGGAACUCCGGCGGGCACGCCUGUCCGAGCGUCAUUUCAACCCUCAGGCCCCCCUUCGCGGGCGGGCCUGGUGUUGGGGCCCGGCCGCUACCCUGCGGCCGUCCCCUAAAUUCAGUGGCGGCCUCGCCGUGAUCCCUUGCGUAGUAAUGCACCUCGCACCGGAGNGCGCCGUGGCCACGCCGUAAAACCCCCAAUUUUCAAUGGUUGACCUCGGAUCAGGUGGGAAUACCCGCUGAACUUAAGCAUAUCAAUAAGCGGAGGA